rnacentral:rRNA from 1 species
UACGGAGGGGGGCUAGCGUUGUUCGGAAUUACUGGGCGUAAAGCGCACGUAGGCGGCUUUGUAAGUUAGAGGUGAAAGCCCGGGGCUCAACCCCGGAAUUGCCUUUAAGACUGCAUCGCUAGAAUUGUGGAGAGGUGAGUGGAAUUCCGAGUGUAGAGGUGAAAUUCGUAGAUAUCAAGCGGAACACCGGUGGCGAAGGCGGCCUUCUGGACAGUGACUGACGCUGAGACGCGAAAGCGUGGGGAGCAAACAGG